UUCGAGCGUCAUUACAACCCUCACGCCUGGCGUGGUAUUGGGCUCGCCCUUCAGGGCCUGCCUCAAAGUCAGUGGCGGCACCGUUCGACCCCUAAGCGUAGUAAUACUCGUCGCUUCUGGAAGUCGGGUGGAGGCCUGCCAGCAACCCCCAUUUUUACAAGGUUGACCUCGGAUCAGGUAGGGAUACCCGCUGAACUUAA
rnacentral:misc_RNA from 1 species